rnacentral:misc_RNA from 1 species
UCGCUGAACACGCCCUCACCACGCUUGCACACGGUGACGAAAAGGAAAGAGUGCGAGGAGCUACAUCUAGGAGAGCGCGCGUGCCCGCGAAGCUCCUCCAUCCUCGCCCCACUGCUCUCUCGCUCUACCUCCCCCCACACACAUACACACACUGCGUGCUUGGAGCCUGCGGCCGUACUGGCGGCAUUCGCGCUUGAACCACAGCGACCCGUCCUUUCCCUCCUCUACUCGCCCACCCCUUCAGUCACGACACAGCAGUACCGCAGACGAGCAGAAUGGGCGUCAAGUCCAAGAAGAAGGCCAAGACCCGGUUGGACGCGUACUACCGGCUGGCCAAGGACCAGGGGUACCGCGCCCGUUCUGCCUACAAACUCAUCCAGCUGAACCGAAAGUAUGAUUUCCUCGCCAAGUCGCGCGUCCUUGUCGACCUCUGCGCCGCGCCUGGUGGCUGGUGCCAGGUGGCGGCGCAGCACAUGGCGAUAGGCUCGAAGAUCGUCGGUGUCGAUCUUGUUCCGAUUGCGCCGAUCCGUGGCGUCAAGACGUUCGUGGGUGACAUCACAGAUGACAAGACGCGCAAGAUGAUCGUCACGUACCUGAAGAAAGAGCCGGUCGACUGUGUCAUUCACGAUGGUGCGCCAAACGUCGGCGGUGUGUGGUCGCGCGAUCUCUUCGACCAGAACGCGCUCGUGCUGGCGUCGGCCAAGAUGGCGUGCUCCAUGCUUAAGGCGAACGGCUGGUUUGUCACGAAGGUGUUCCGCUCGCCGGACUUCCACAACCUCCUCUGGGUGUUCAAGCAGCUCUUCGAGAAGGUCGAGGCGACGAAGCCGCAGGCGUCUCGCAUGGAGUCUGCCGAAAUCUUCGUCGUCUGUGCCGGCUUCAAGGCACCCAAGAGCAUCGAUCCCGCCUUCUUCAACCCGCAAAAGGUCUUUGCGGAGGUCGGCCAAGAGAAGAUCGUCUCCGCCUCCGGCAUGCUGGUCGCCCCCAAGUCGAAUGUGCCGACGGGGUACGACGAGUUCGCUACCGUUUCGCACCACGUUGCGUCCUUCUCCGAUUUCCUCAACGCUGAUGACCCGAAGGUGUUCCUAAAGACGCACCACGAGCUGCGCUUCAGCGACGACGCGGACAAGGAAUACCUCAAGUCGAAGAGCUCCAAGAAGGAGCUGGUGUAUCUCUGCGGUGAUCUUCAGCAGGUGGGCGAGGCUGAUCUUCGGCGCAUGCUGCGGUGGCGAGAGCAGCUGCUGCGUGAGAAGACCCACCGCAUCCAGGUCGACGCGGCAGGCACUGAGGAGGGCGGCGACGUGGACAGCAUGGCCGGCUGCAACGGCAGCGACGACGAAGACGACGAAGAUGACGGCAAAGGGAAGCGCGACUACCACUUCGACUUCGACAGCCCCGAGGGCGUCACGCAGAUCGCGCGUGAGCUGCUCGAGAUUCGGAAGAAGAAGGCCAAGGAGUUGAAGAAAAAGCAGAAGAAGGUGGUGGAUCGAAAGCUGAAGCAGAUCAAGGGCCUCAUCAACUACGACCCCAACAUGAGCGUCGAGCAUAUGACGGAGGCGGAUGGGCUCACCUACAAAGGCACGAAUACCGACGCCUUCGACGAUGACGGCGACGCCGCGGCAGGCGGCGAGGACGGCGAAGCCGAUGAGCUGGAUCACUUCACUGUGGAGCAGCUCGGGCUUAUUCCGGAGAAGGAGCUGGCCCACAUCAUGGAUAAGACUUGGACGGAGCCGGAGGACCGCGGCAACGACCCGCUGAACCCGGUCAUGUCGGUCAACCUCGCCGCCCAGGACGACUGGGACUUGGGGGACAAGAAGGACGGCGACGAGUCCGAGGCCGAGGGCGACGACGAUGGCGUGCCGCACUCCGCCCAGCUCGUUGAGGGGGAGGAGCACUUCAUGGAUGUCGACAACUACGGUAACUACGUCCCGGCGCAGCGCUCGACGCGUGUGACGCUGUACGAGGCAGGGCUGGAGGGCUACGAGGACAGCAACGACGCGGAGGCCGCGGACGAGACGCCGGCGUCCAAGAAGAAGCGUGCAAAGGCAGAGAAAGACGCAGCGCAGCUGGAGGAGGCGGGUAAGAGCAGCAAGUGGGAGCGCCAUCAGCUGAACAUCGAAAAGGUGUUGAAUGACACCUUUCCGAAGCCGAAGGAUCACGAUCGCGCCAAGAACAAGAAGCGGCAGCGCACCCUAGAGGAGGAGCGCAUCAUCAUGAGCGUGCCCACGGAGAUGGCGGACCCGGACAAGCGCAAGCACGUGCGCACGCGCUUCGAGGACAAGGACGACGACGACAGCAGCGACGACUCUGUUAGCGAGCUGUCUGCGGAGCUGAGCGACGGCGACCUCGACGACUACGAGAUCAACCGUGGCCGCGAGGACUCGCGCCGCAAGCGCAAGCUGAUCCCUGACAUAGGUAAGGUGACUACCCAGGAGCUCAUACGCCAGCAGCGGAAGCAAACCCUGCACGACAACAAGGAGGUUCGUAAGCAGAACAAGCGAAACAAGAACAACACAAACAGCGGAAAGAAUUCCAGUGGCAAGCAGGACACGGAGUUUGAAGAGAUCCCGAUUGCCAUGACGGAUCCCGACAUCCGCGCUCGUACGCUGGCAAUCGCGCAGAAGAUGCUGGACCCCAAGGCGCGCCGCGAGAUCCUCGACGCCUCUGUCAACCGCUACGUCUUCAACGACGACGAUGACCUGCCGGACUGGUUCGUAAAGGAUGAGCAGCGCAACUGCCGUGUCGUGCUGCCAGUGACCGCGGAGGAGAUCGAGGAGCAGCGCCGCCGCUUCCAGGAGCUGAACGCGCGACCGAGCCGCAAGGUGAUGGAGGCGAUGGGCCGCAAGCGCCGGAAGGCGCAGCGCAUGCUACGCAGCUUGAUUGACAAAGGCAAGGCUGACCCUCGCGCGCGCGAGAAGGCUGAAAACCUGAGCGUGCGCAAGCUGAUGCGUUCGCAAGUGGUGAAAGGCCAGGGAAAGAAGAGGCACAAGUACCUCGACCGGCAGCUGAUGGGCCGCAUGCGGCGCGAGAAGCAGAAGCUGAAGCGCCGGAAAUAGGGUGCACACGUGUGCUUGUGCUUGUGCUUUUCACCGUGCGCCGGGGCCUGCCUCCGUGUCUAUGCCUGUGCGUUCGCGUGUGUGUGUGCCUGACACUGUCUCUCGCUGCCGUGUAUGGGCGCGUUGGCUUGUUGUGAUAUGGGCAAGACUCGGUUAAGUUGAUGUCUCCUUUUUUUUUCAUCGGAGCAUUUCGCCACCCCUCUUUUACGGAGUGUGCGUACGUGCGCCCUGUUGCUGUGUUGUCCUUGCGUGUUUCUCUUUUUCACUUGUGCAUGGGUACAUCUUGUUUUCUUUGUCGUGGCGUCGCGCAGUCUGAGCCGACGAUGCUGCACUAUCAGCCCUCCCUCUGAAUUCACUUCCCUUCCCGCCCCGCUUCCUUCACACACACACACACACGUGUACGCGCACGCACCGCGGACUCUCUCGCUCUCGCUCUCUUCUGUUUUGGUUGUCGCUCUCCUUCCUUUGUACGCCUAAGCGUGUUAAGCCCGUAAGCCACCGUGGCGUUGAGCGCAACAGGAAAAAAAACCGAGUCACGCACACGCACACGGAGAAACGGAGAGAAAAAGGGGGCCCGACGCGACGCUCGACGCAACCGGACGUCUCUUCGUCCCCCCAGCGCAAGCGUGCAUGCUUGCACGUACAACUACACACACCAGCUCAGCAGGUGUGUGUUUCCACUCACCUCCAGCUAUGAAGGAUCAGCGGCAGCGAUGCCCUUUAUGUGGGCAUGGCAGCAUGUGAUGACGGGAAUUUGGAGAGGAGACAGGGCUCGCACUCGCCCGCGUGCGCCUCCGCCUUUACGCGACAAGCAAAGCCAAGUCGCGACUCUUCUCUCAAUUCUUUCUGCUCUGUUUUUCUUAGAUCCACGUCGCCUCCUCUGUCUGCCCGUCGUUUCUCUCUCUCUCCUUCCCACUCGCCGGGAUCUCUGCGCAUGAGCGUGUGUGCGUGCACGCUGAUAACGAUGACGACCAUAUGCCCCACUCCCUCUCUCUCCUCAUCCUCCCUGCACAUGUCACAUGGGGGUUUCCGCAUCAACGAUCACUGGCGAAAAAAAAAAAACAUGUACUCGUCCCAG